UACAGAGGAUGCAAGCGUUAUCCGGAAUGAUUGGGCGUAAAGCGUCUGUAGGUGGCUUUUUUAAGUCCGCCGUCAAAUCCCAGGGCUCAACUCUGGACAGGCGGUGGAAACUACCAAGCUGGAGUACGGUAGGGGGCAGAGGGAAUUUCCGGUGGAGCGGUGAAAUGCGUAGAGAUCGGAAAGAACACCAACGGCGAAAGCACUCUGCGUGGGCCGACACUGACACUGAGAGACGAAAGCUAGGGGAGCGAAUGGG
rnacentral:rRNA from 1 species